rnacentral:rRNA from 1 species
GACGAACGCUGGCGGCGUGCUUAACACAUGCAAGUCGAACUAGUGGCGAACGGGUUAGUAAUCCGUGCGUAACCUGCCCUCUUUUUGGGAUCAGCCUUGGAAACGGGGUCUAAUACCGGAUAAAGGGGGCUGGGCUCGCGGCCUUUCAGCUUGUUGGUGGGGUGAUGGCCUACCAAGGCGGUGACGGGUAGCCGGCCUGAGAGGGUGAACGGACACAUUGGGACGGAGAUACGGCCCAGGUACCUACGGGAGGCAGCAGUGGGGGAUAGUGCACAAUGGGAGAAAGCCUGAUGCAGCGACGCCGCGGGGGGGAUGAUGGCUUUCGGGUUGUAAACGUCUUUAGCUAUCGAAAGGGUAGGUGGAGAAGAAGAGCAGGCUAACUACGUGCCAGCAGCCGAGGUAAUAC